GAUGAACGCUGGCGGCGUGCCUAAUACAUGCAAGUCGAGCGGCAACACGGUCUUCGGACUGGUGGCGAGCGGCGGACGGCUGAGUAACGCGUAGGAACGUGCCCCAAAGUGAGGGAUAAGCAUCAGAAAUGGUGUCUAAUACCGCAUGUGGUCUCCGGAUCAAAGCCUUCGGGCGCUAUGGGAACGGCCUGCGUCUGAUUAGCUAGUUGGUGAGGUAACGGCUCACCAAGGCGACGAUCAGUAGCUGGUCUGAGAGGAUGACCAGCCAGACUGGGACUGAGACACGGCCCAGACUCCUACGGGAGGCAGCAGUAGGGAAUCUUCCACAAUGGGCGAAAGCCUGAUGGAGCAACGCCGCGUGCAGGAUGAAUGCCUUCGGGUUGUAAACUGCUUUUGUUAGUGACGAUUAUGACGGUAACUAGCGAAUAAGGAUCGGCUAACUCCGUGCCAGCCGCCGCGGUAA
rnacentral:rRNA from 1 species